AACAAAAUACCAUAGACUGGAUGGCCUAAACUACAGAAAUUUAUUUCUCAUGGUUCUGGAGCCUAGAAGUCCAAGACCACAGUGCAGAAAGAACUCUAUUCUGUUCCCUUGGUCUACUUGACUCCAGUACCACAGUGUCUUGCUGUAGCUUUAUAAACUUUGAAAUCAGGGGGAAGUAUGUAAUGAUGUUUGUGACAAAAAUAAAUGUGAUCAACUGGUAAAAACAGCCUGAUGUUGGGUCUUCAGUGAAUGUUCCCACUAGCCAGGCCGAGCUUAAGGUGUAUGGUAAACAAAACAAUCCAAAACCCAUGUAGCUCCACAAUAAUCAGCAAUUCUGGAUCCAGUAAAACAAGUCUCCUUUAAGACAUGGCUGAAUGCUGGAAGAAAGUAAAGAAAGUUCCUGGAGUCAAAAAUGAAGUGAGAAGGAAAAAUUAGAGCAAUGCAGUCUCACCCUGUUGCCUAGGCUGGAAUGCAGUGGCACCAUCCUGGCUCACCACAACCUCCGCCCACUGGGUUCAAGUGAUUCUCCUGCCCCAGCCUUCCAAGUAGCUGGGACUACAGGUGUUUCUGUAUUUUUAGUAAAGACGGGGUUUCACCAUGUUGACCAGGGUGGUCUCGAACUCCUGACCUCAUGUAAUCCACCUGCCUUGGCCUCCCAAACUGCUGGGAUUACAGGUGUGAGCCACCACACCUGGCCAGAACUCUACCCUUCAGGAACUUAGCGCAUCAGUUUCCUCCUAAGCCAUACUGGGCUGCCACUGUUCUUCAUAUAUCAGGUUCAAGCUAAUGAAUCCAAGCCAAAGAACUCCAUAUUCUCCAAAGCCUAUAAGCAGAAUGUUGUUGUGGGGGGGAAGAAGUUCCAUUGUGUCCCCACUGAAGAGACACAGAAGUCCCAAAGGGGUCACUGACCUGCCAGCUGGACUACAUUUUCCAGCCUUUCUUGCAGUUAGGUGUAACCAUGUGAAUGGAUUCUGGCCAAUAAAAUUGAUCUUGGAAACCGUGUAUUGAAGAUGGUGAAGCUACAGAUGGAAGGCACCUGGAUCCAGAUUUAAAAGAGCUGCCUGCUGAUCAGGAACACCCUUUUUGAGCUUUGAGGAUGUGUUUUAGUUCUCAUAUUCCUGCAUAACAAACUACUCCAAAUUUAGUGGAUUAAAACAACAAUUUAUUAUAA